GAUGAACACUAGCUACAGGCUUAACACAUGCAAGUCGGGGGGAAACGACAUCGAAAGCUUGCUUUUGAUGGGCGUCGACCGGCGCACGGGUGGGUAACGCGUAUCCGACCUGCCCAUCACUUGGGGAUAACCUUGCGAAAGUAAGACUAAUACCCAAUGAUAUCUCUAGAAGACAUCUGAAAGAGAUUAAAGAUUUAUCGGUGAUGGAUGGGGAUGCGUCUGAUUAGCUUGUUGGCGGGGUAACGGCCCACCAAGGCAACGAUCAGUAGGGGUUCUGAGAGGAAGGUCCCCCACAUUGGAACUGAGACACGGUCCAAACUCCUACGGGAGGCAGCAGUGAGGAAUAUUGGUCAAUGGGCGAGAGCCUGAACCAGCCAAGUAGCGUGCAGGAAGACGGCCCUAUGGGUUGUAAACUGCUUUUAUAAGGGAAUAAAGUGAGAGUCGUGACUCUUUUUGUAUGUACCUUAUGAAUAAGGACCGGCUAAUUCCGUG
rnacentral:rRNA from 1 species